UGCAAUAAUGCUAUCAUUCGGUGCUGUAGUACCAUCGAUAAUGUCCUUUGAUCCAAUCAGUCCCAGAAACAGUUAUAGAGUUUGAAACCAGGCGUUUGCCUGUCAGGCCUACAAUUACUCCGGUGGAUCCUCCACCAUCGGAAUCGAAGGAGAUAACAGUGACAGAUGCUCUUCCGUUGGAAAUUACUCCUGAGAUGGCGAUUGUUCUGAGGAAUCCUCAAAGAAGGAAUAAUAACUGGUGCCAUCCUUGUUUAGGGAUAAACUCCAAUUCCAACCGUAGAUUUUUGGAUUUUGAUAUCAGAAGAGCUGCUGUUCCUACUCUUCCACAAAUAACUGCUCCUGUUCCAUCCAUCCGCCGGCGAUCAACAUCGGCUACUGGAAAACCUUGAAAAACAAAUUGAUGAGUAAACUAAAGGCACACUCCACAGAGGAAACCUCAUUGCUUUAGAAGAGAACUAUGAAAUUAAUAAAUGUCGAGACUGACAAUGGCGAAUCAUGGGGAUUGCUUAACAUCCUAAACCUAGGAAUUAUCAAGGGCUAUCAGUAUUAGGAGUUUAUCAAGGUUAUCGGUAUGAGAAGAGUGUGUACAUUGCCCUUUUUUGUUCAAUUCUUGAUCAGUACGAGUGUUUGCUUAACAAAAUGUUGGGCCCGAGACCAUACAUACCUAACUAGUUUACCUUCCAUUGAAUGGGAAAAAAACUGAACCAGAAUUCCCGUGGGAAGUCCUUUUGUUGCCUAAAACAAUCUUAUGGUCCAUCAUUAUGUAAUCCCUACUCGAGUUCUACACAUACAAAAAUAGAUGUAUUCAACUAAAAGGAGCCUUCAGCAGGCAGUGAGGGUACUUGUCAAUCACUAUGUAAUGUACUUAACUCCGCUUCUGCUUGUGAUUACUAUUUGUACAUGAGUCAAGGAACUCAAAAUCACAACACAUUCACCCUUUAUUUACUAGUACUGAUGAAUUACUUAAUAGUAAAAUGUAUCCCUUGUACUUAAGAGGUUAUACAAUCUGUAAUGUUAAUGACUGGCUUUUGUUGAAGAAUGACUAUGAUGAUUGAACGUCUGUAAUUCGUUUGUCUGCAGGCGUGUGGCGUUAUUAUGAGAAACAACCUUUGGUUAUCCAUCCCAAAUAUCAUUAUGAAGAGAGAAAAACUGCUGACACUUACUACACUUCAUCUCAAUUUUCAUUAGGAUAGUUGAAGUAUGAAGUUAUUCAUAUGUAUUUAUACUUAUCUGCAGGUCCUCAGGAUGAUCUAGGCGGUAUGGAUGUAGCAAGAAAGGUGGCCAGGAGAUAUACACUUGUUGUUACGCGAAACAACCUUUGGUUAUCCUAGCUGAUAUCCGGCCUUGACAUUCAAAAUUUAUUCCCAGUAACAUCUAAAUAAAUGGUAAAAUGUAUGUCCAAACAGGGGCUGAUCUACAUGGUGGUGAACCCCGUUCCUCCUUAACUUUAGGUUAGUAUCAUAAUCAGAGUCCUGAAUAGA